rnacentral:piRNA from 1 species
UUGCAUUACUUGGGGGCAAUUGUGCUUUGU